GAAGGUAUAGGUCACGUGGUAGAGCUCAUGCUUAGCAUACAUGAGGUCCUGGAUUCAAUCCCCAGUACCUCCU
rnacentral:tRNA from 1 species